CCCCGGGCGGUGCCUCCAGGACUGUCCAACCUGAGAAUGGUGUCUCCGGGGUCAAUCUCAGGUUCGUCAGCCCGUGAGGUGCCACCCCUUU
rnacentral:pre_miRNA from 1 species